AGCGGAUGUUUACAGUAUCCUGCAAGGCAUAUUGAAAGAUGGCAGCUAUUUAUGAGUUGCUCUGUUUUUUUUUUAAUAUAGCGUGUUUUAGAUUCUUACAUAUUUCUGUGGAAGAAAGCACUGGGAAAGCACUUCGCUAAUUUAAUGGAUACAUUUCUUGAAUGCCAACAGUAGGAGAAUACAGUUUACGCAGUGCUGCACGAUGCUCCUAAUGUCAGCAUUAAACAAAGUCAUUUGAGAAAAGAUUGAAUAUAUUUUACUAUUUUGUGAGUUUUUUUUUUAACUCGGCAUUUAACCUAAUAUGUUUCAAUAUGUUCAGGGGUCUGAACACUCUUCUUAACAAACCCAAUAUGGGUAACAAAGACUGGACUAGUUCUGCGGUAUGACGUGGAAUCGACCCCUCGAAACAGCAGUAGGGGCAUGUUGUGUUGGAUGCUCUUAUAAAGAUAUACCGCCAUGAGGGUGUACCAGGAUUGUAUCGGGGCUUCCUACCAGGUUUGUUGGGUACAUCACAUGGUGCGCUUCAGUUUAUGGCUUACGAGGAGCUGAAAAGGGAAUUCAACACAUACAGGAGCCUGCCACCAGAGACUAAAUUGGAAUGAAGGUGUUCAUGGAUUUUACAAAGGAAUGGUACCUAAUGUUAUCAGAGUGACUCCUGCCUGCUGUAUUAUGUUUCUAGUGUAUGAAAAUGUGUCACGUUUUUUGCUACACAACUAACCCAGGGAGAUGCUAAGAGGAAUUCACUUAAGAGACAUUGGCAGUGUUGUCCUGCUGUGACCCAAACCUGGGCACAGGUAAAGAAGCACCAAGAUUGUAAUCAUGUAUGGUACCUCAGAAGUAGAGUUCACAAUAUCAUGGCAACAGUCUUGACCUCUGCUUCCUAAACUAAUAGUGUUGUGCAUCUGCAUGGAUUUCUUUCAGAAUAUAACUGAUGCACAACUCAGUCCUUGGAGUCUGAAUGGCAUAUCUGUGUGUGUGUGUGUACAGCUAGUGCCAAAAGUUUUGCAUCACCCUAUAGAAUUAACUAAUUUUGCUUCAUGGUCGAAUAAAACCUGUUGAAUAAUGUUAAGUUAACACCUUGAAUUACAUACCGCGUUGUAGUUUUACAUAUACUUAAUGAAAAACUGACAAAAACAGAAAAAUGUGACAUUUUGAAAUCUAACAUGAAGUACUUUAAAGUACUACUGUUGUGGCUUCCGGUGGACUUUGGAUUAUCAUUUAGUAGUUUCUUUGAUUACAUGGUGUUAAAUAAAAUAUCUAAAUUGUGUUCAUGAUCAUAAUCAUAAUGUCUCAAUCCUGAAAUUCUAGGUUAUGCAAAACUUCUGGCCAUAGCUGUAUGUAUGUAAGUGUGAGGUUUUUAAAUUUCUGUGCAAUUUUGCCAUGUUUUAUCCCCUUAACGUCAGAACUAAAAUGGAACAACCAUAUAGCCCUGUUUAUGUAGGGGUCCCCAGAAGGUUAUGUAGUACCUGUUCCUGACUCAAUACAUGCUUUUGACUCCCCAGUGGACACGCUACUCCCAUUACACUGCUAAAUACACUUACCAAGUGACAUUUUGUAUCAAGUGAUUUGUUUGCUUGAAGAGGCUGUGUUUUGAAGAGCUUUGGUUUAUUUCAAACUGGAAAUUAAUUUCCUCAAGAUGUCACUGAAGUGUUAAGAAUAUGACCUUUUAUAUAUGUAUAUGUUUGUGUAUGUGUAUAUAUAUAUACUGUACUGAUGAGCCCCAAAAAGGGCGAAACAUGUAUGCAGCUACUGUAUUUUCACUUUUAAAACGCUGUGAAUGUAGAAGCUGUUAGGCAACUUUCACGCAAUUUGAUUGGCUCUUGUAAUGCUUUAUUUGCAUAUCUCCCUACAAGCCAUUUGUUUUUGAAUUUAUUGCUUUCUCUCACCUUAACGUGAAAGCAAGAGAGAGAGAUAGAGAGAGAAAAAAUAGUAAUGUGAAACAUAAAAUCCAAUUGAUAUUUUACAAGGUCAUGUAAAACUGACUGACCUGUUUUUUUGAGGCAUGUGCUUAAUCAAUGGUAAAACUAUUUUAACAGUAUAAAUCUAGAAACUACUUGGAACAUGUUUGUAGCUAGUUCUAUUCCUCAGAAAAUUAGCUAUGCACUUAAUUUAAAAUAGGCGCUAUUAUGUCUUCCAGCAGAUGCUUUGAAUCGUGUUUAUUUUUAUAUUUUUAAUUAUUGCUGUGACUCAAAUUUCGUGUAAAGUACAAUUACAAUUAUUUUGAUGACUGUAUGCUCAUCUCCUUCUGAUAAAAAUUAACCUGAGCAAUGUUGUUUAUUUUUCUAAAAAUAUUUCCCAACAUAAAACUAAU